AUGAACGCUGGCGGCGUGCCUAAUACAUGCAAGUCGAGCGAACGGACGAGAAGCUUGCUUUUCUGAUGUUAGCGGCGGACGGGUGAGUAACACGUGGAUAACCUACCUAUAAGACUGGGAUAACUUCGGGAAACCGGAGCUAAUACCGGAUAAUAUUUUGAACCGCAUGGUUCAAAAGUGAAAGACGGUCUUGCUGUCACUUAUAGAUGGAUCCGCGCUGCAUUAGCUAGUUGGUAAGGUAACGGCUUACCAAGGCAACGAUGCAUAGCCGACCUGAGAGGGUGAUCGGCCACACUGGAACUGAGACACGGUCCAGACUCCUACGGGAGGCAGCAGUAGGGAAUCUUCCGCAAUGGGCGAAAGCCUGACGGAGCAACGCCGCGUGAGUGAUGAAGGUCUUCGGAUCGUAAAACUCUGUUAUUAGGGAGGAACAUAUGUGUAAGUAACUGUGCACAUCUUGACGGUACCUAAUCAGAAAGCCACGGCUAACUACGUG
rnacentral:rRNA from 1 species